ACACACACACACACAUUACAUCUAGCAGAUUAAGACCGACAGUUGCUGAAAUAAAAGAGGUCCAAAAACCCAAAUAUUUAGCAAUUUUUAUAUAGUUCAUGCAUGCAUUCUUUUUAGGUCUAUAAAUUAGCCGAGCUAAUUGCUUGCUUGCCAGCUUGCUAGCUUCUAUAUAUUUGAUCACAUCUUAUGCAUUUCUUGAAUCUUUUUUGGUCCAGUGCUUCAUUUUCUGUACACAUGACUGGCUUUGUGAGCUUUGUUUUCAGUACUUCCAGCCGCUGAUAUCGUUGCCUUGAAACUUAUAUAAGGAAGGCAGGCACUAGGGUUUGUAAAGGAAGGAAGGAAUUAGGGUUUGCAAAGCAAUUAACCCGGCCAUAACAUCUACACACAAAACCUCUGUGUACUUGUUUGAAAGUACGUGGGAUAUAUAUAUCUUGAUAUUAUAAAAAAUGGGUUUUGUGUGGUGGAGAUUGUUUGUUGCUGCAGUUGUUGUAAUUCUUUUCUUUCAUGGUUUUUCUAGCGCUGAAAGAGCCCCAAACUUCACCUUCAUGCAUAGCGCAACAACAGCUCCCGACAUAUCAUACUAUGACUACAUUAUAGUGGGUGGUGGCACUGCUGGCUGCCCCUUGGCCGCCAGUCUUUCCCAAAAUUACAGCGUUUUGCUACUUGAACGCGGCGGCUCUCCCUAUGGCAACCCCAACAUUACAAAUUUGUCUACCUUUGGCAGUGCACUCUCUGAUCUCUCCCCUGCCUCCCCUUCCCAGCGCUUCAUCUCUGAGGAUGGUGUCAUUAACGCCCGCGCCCGUGUGCUAGGUGGCGGGAGCUGUCUCAAUGCCGGUUUUUACACUCGCGCUCCCCCUGACUACAUUAGGGAAGCUGCAUGGGACGGGAGAUUAGUUAACGAAUCAUACCAAUGGGUAGAGCACCUUGUGGCGUUUCGGCCGCCAAUUCAGGCAUGGCAAUCGGCGGUGCGCAAUGGUUUGAUGGAAGCUGGGGUGAUGCCUUACAAUGGGUUCACUUAUGACCAUAUCUACGGGACGAAGGUUGGAGGAACCAUUUUUGAUCUGGAGGGACAUAGACACACUGCUGCUGAUUUAUUAGAGUACGCUAACCCCACUGGACUUACUGUGCUCUUGCAUGCUGCUGUGCAUAAGAUCUUGUUUAGAACCAAAGGAAAAUCAAGGCCACUGGCCCAUGGGGUGACGUUCAGAGACUCCUCAGGGACCAAGCACAGAGCCUAUCUAAAACGGGUCCAAAAACGAGAUCAUUAUAUCAUCUGGUGCGCUCGGAAGCCCACAGCUUCUGAUGCUGAGUGGAGUGGGCCCAGCAGAACAACUUAAGGCCCACAACAUCACAGUGGUGGUGGACCAGCCCAUGGUUGGGCAAGGCAUGUCUGACAACCCCAUGAAUGCAAUUUUUGUGCCCUCCCCAAUCCCUGUGGAGGUCUCACUGAUUCAGGUGGUAGGGAUCACCCACUUUGGAAGCUACAUUGAAGCUGCCAGUGGUGAAAACUUUGCUGGCGGUUCUACUACCAAAGACUUUGGAAUGUUCUCUCCCAAGAUUGGUCAGCUCUCCACAGUGCCACCAAAGCAAAGGACCCCAGAAGCCCUAGCCGAAGCUGUAAGAUACAUGGACAGUCUUGAAGACGCAGCCUUCAAAGGAGGGUUCAUUCUUGAGAAAGUCAUGGGUCCAAUUUCCACAGGCCACAUGGAGCUCCGGACCCGAAACCCGAACGACAACCCGGCGGUCACAUUCAACUACUUCAAAGAGCCCCAAGACUUGGAGAGAUGUGUCCAAGGCAUUGAAACCAUUGAGAAAAUAAUAGAAUCAAAGGCCUUCUCUAAGUUCAGAUACGAGGGUAUGUCAAUAGCAGCUCUGCUGAACGCUACUGCAAGUAGCCCUGUAAAUUUGUUGCCUAAACAUGCCAAUGCGUCAAGGUCUUUGGAUCAGUUUUGCAAGGACACUGUCAUGACCAUAUGGCAUUACCAUGGAGGAUGCCAAGUUGGUAGGGUUGUUGACCAUGAUUACAAGGUUCUUGGUGUCGAUGCUCUUCGAGUUAUUGACGGUUCGACGUUUAAUUAUUCCCCCGGAACCAAUCCUCAAGCCACUGUUAUGAUGCUUGGAAGGUACAUGGGAAAAACAAUAUUGGAUGAGAGGCUUGCUAGUGAUGUAUCAAAUUAAGUAAUUUAUUAUGUCUGAUUGUAUGAGUGCAAAGAUUUGAUCUUCUACUAUGUAUAACUACCCUGCUAAAAUGAUUGCAGAGAUGGAUGAGAGGAGUAUGUAUUAGGUUAUAUAUUUCUUUAAACAUACAAUGAAACAUUUCCUCCCCAAAAUAAUACUAUUAGAAUGAUUCUCUUUUUUCAAAAA